rnacentral:rRNA from 2 species
AUCUGGGCGGCGGAAUUCAGGAUGGCUGGGCGGGUCUCGCGCCUGUCCGGCCGUCUGAUAUUUCCGUCGCCGCGUCAGACGUCGCGACCUGUUUGCCGUCGGUCCUUGCUCGGAGGAAUCGCGAUCGAGUUCGUUGCGGGCGUGUUUCGGCGCGCUCCGCGGCGAAGACGCGGCUCUCUGGCCGACGGUGGACAGUAAGCAACGGUGUCCGAUGCCGUGUCUCGUCACUCGGCGUCGGUGCCGGUCAGCGACGAUUUCUUCGGGCCUCUUUCCGACCCGUCUUGAAACACGGACCAAGGAGUCUAACAUGCGCGCGAGUCGCGGGGUUUCGAGCGUGCCACGGUGCGCUCGUUACUUCCGAAACCCGUACGUUGAAGGCGUAAUGAAAGUGAACAGGGAAGAUGGCGUUCCGAGUCCACGUACCGUGAUCGAGUAUCGCGGCCGGACGCCCGCACUCCCGGGGCGUCUCAAUGGCUCGUCGCGGACGCGGACGGUCGUCUCUCGGGGCGGCCGUCGGUCUGCGCCGGACCGA